GAUGAACGCUGGCGGCGUGCCUAAUACAUGCAAGUCGAGCGAACAGAUAAUGAGCUUGCUCCUUUGACGUUAGCGGCGGACGGGUGAGUAACACGUGGGUAACCUACCUAUAAGACUGGGAUAACUUCGGGAAACCGGAGCUAAUACCGGAUAACAUUUUGAACCGCAUGGUUCUAAAGUGAAAGAUGGUUUUGCUAUCACUUAUAGAUGGACCCUCGCCGUAUUAGCUAGUUGGUAAGGUAACGGCUUACCAAGGCAACGAUACGUAGCCGACCUGAGAGGGUGAACGGCCACACUGGAACUGAGACACGGCCCAGACUCCUACGGGAGGCAGCAGUAGGGAAUCUUCCGAAAUGGGCGAAAGCCUGAAGGAGCAACGCAGCGUGAGUGAUGAAGGGUUUCGGCUCGUAAAACUCUGUUAUUAGGGAAGAACAAAUGCGUAAGUAACUGUGCACGUCUUGACGGUACCUAAUCAGAAAGCCACGGCUAACUACGUG
rnacentral:rRNA from 1 species